rnacentral:tRNA from 1 species
CCUUAGCUCAGUUGGUUUAGAGCGCCUGCCUUACAAGCAGGAGGUCCUUGGUUCAAAUCCAA